rnacentral:lncRNA from 1 species
CCCGCGCUCCUCCGGGCAGAGCGCGUGUGGCGGCCGAGCACAUGGGCCCGCGGGCCGGGCGGGCUCGGGGCGGCCGGGACGAGGAGGGGCGACGACGAGCUGCGAGCAAAGAUGUGCCCCGGGACCCCCGGCACCUUCCAGUGGAUUUCCUUGCGGAAAGGAUGUUGGCGGUCCCUGUGACCUGUGGAGACACGGCCAGAUCUGCCCUCCAGCCUGAUCUUUUGGCCAGAAGGAGAUUAAAAAGAUGCCCCUCAAGAUGGCUGUGCCUGUCAGCUGCAUGGAGCUUCGUUCAAGUAUUUUCUGAGCCUGAUGGAUUUACAGUGAUCUUCAGUGGUCUGGGGAAUAACGCUGGUGGAACCAUGCACUGGAAUGACACACGCCCGGCACAUUUCAGGAUACUAAAAGUGGUUUUAAGGGAGGCUGUGGCUGAAUGCCUCAUGGAUUCUUACAGCUUGGAUGUCCAUGGGGGACGAAGGACUGCAGCUGGCUGAGAGGGUUGAGAUCUCUGUUUACUUAGAUCUCUGCCAACUUCCUUUGGGUCUCCCUAUGGAAUGUAAGACCCCGACUCUUCCUGGUGAAGCAUCUGAUGCACGUUCCAUCCGGCGCUCAGCUGGGCUUGAGCUGACCAUACUCCCUGGAGCCUUCUCCCGAGGUGCGCGGGUGACCUUGGCACAUACAGCCAUCAUGAUGGUACUUUAAGUGGAGGCUGAAUCAUCUCCCCUUUGAGCUGCUUGGCACGUGGCUCCCUUGGUGUUCCCCUUUUACUGCCAGGACACUGAGAUUUGGAGAGACACUUUCGCCUGUCAGUUCUGCCAGUUGGGAAGUGUCAUCCCCACUGUGUGAAUGUGGAAGGGAUAAUGAAGAAUUUCCACGGCUUGCCUAGGGUCGUUGAGCAAUGUGGAAGGGAUCAUGGAGAAUUUCCAUGGCUUGCCUAAGGUCAUCAAGCUGGCAUCUCAACCCAGGUUCAUCUGCCUGUGAUGACAGGAAAGAAAUCAGAAUCCUGUUACACCUGGGAUUUAGGCACUUUCAAUCUGAAAAAAUACAUAUCCUUUCAGCACUCUGGACGGACUUGAGAACUGUCCUUACGUGACCUAAAGCUGGAGUAUUUUGAGAUUGGAGAAUUAAGAGUGUGGGCACCCUGGCUUCAAGCUCACGAGAAACCAGAAGGAAGUCACUGUGCAUAGCCAUCCCCUAAGAAGAGGGCAUUCCUGCUCUUCCUUCUCCAUGGCUAGAGGAUCUACAUGAACUAUUUAGAUUUUUUCUACCUGGGAGAUUUAACUCCUCUCUCCUAUUUAUUUAUUUAUAUAUCAGCAUGGACUUGCAGGCCAACAGAGAUUUUGAGAAACACAUUGAAGGAUCUGUUAACACUUGAUAUACCCAAUAAAAGCAGUGGUUGUGCCAGUGCUGAUCUGUCUUGAUGUGAAUGUGAACAAUGGGAACCUGAGCUGAGCAGUUAAUGCUAGGGUGACAGAAACUGGACCUCUCCCAAGACAUGUGACAGAGUAAUACAGCAGCCAACUUCUUCGCCAAAUUAAAGUUUUACAAGAUUUAACCUGUCAUCAAGACCUGGGAUUUUGGUGAGCCAGUCUUGGUGCUCUGUGUUCACCUGGUUCAUCUGAGGAGCUGCAUCUACCCUGCCCAUGCCAUAGAUCCUGCCCUGUUUGCUUCUCCUGUUGCUGCUAGUGGACAUGAGGUAACCACAGCCUAGUUCUGUGAUAAGCUCUUCACACCUGUACCCAUAUGGACUGUGGGAGAGUUUCUCUGAUAUGGACUGUGAUGCGGAAGGACAGAAUAACGGGCUCCCAGAUUCACAAGCCCCACCAAGAGGAUCACCCCAGGAACGCUUGGAGGCUGAGGAGUUCACUGAGGCUACUGCAUCUUGAGACUCAGGAUGAAGACCCAGCUUGGGGCUGUCAAAGGUUUUUUGCAUGUCUGACACCCAUGACUCCACCUGGACCUUAUGGCUCCACCCAGAAGCAAUUCAGCCCAACAGGAGGACAGCUUCAACCCAUUACGAUUUCAUCUCUGCCCCAACCACUCAGCAGCAAGCACCUGUUACCUGUCCACCCCCACCCCUUCCCCCAAACUGCCUUUGAAAAAUCCCUAACCUAUGAGCUUUGAAUAAGAUGAGUACGAACUUCAUCGCCCACGUGGCGUGGCCGGCCUCGUGUCUAUUAAAUUCUUUUUCUACUACAA